UUUUUCGAUGCCUACAAUACGUCGUGUUUUACACUAGUCAAAUUUAGUAUGGUCAUAAAUUUCACAAAUAGAUAAAAACGAUAUAUUUAUGUAGUAAUAUACUUUUCAUGAACAAUCUCAAGGGAUAUUAAUUAUGUGAUUAUUUAGUAAAUAUAAUUAGGUUAGAUAAAACUAAAGUCCGAUAGACAGUCGAAUGUGUUUACUUCCUGUUCCUUGUUUGGUUGUGGGCUUAGGGCAGAUUCACCCAUUCAACUGUCUGUUCGAUCUCGUUUAUAUGCAACUCGUAUGUAUUAGGUAAUCAUAGGAGGGUAGUAUCGUCGCAUCAGGUUCCAGAACAACCAAGUCUUCAGACAGUCUAACUUAUCAACAAAACUAGAUAACAUUACAGUAAGUACAGUAUUUGUACUUGUGCUUUUCAAUCUUGGAACAACAUAGAAAAGCAAUCGGUUUUAUAGAAAAUAUAGGAUUUUCUAUGGUAAACAUCAUUCUUUUAAGAUAAACAGUUUUCGAUAGAACUUUUUGAAAACAAUAACAUUUAUUACCGAAAACAAUGUUUCACAAUAGAGUUAGUGAAACUAGAAACUUAUCUAUAAAAGGUUUCAUACAUAUUAUUAAACUAGUAUAACAUAAAGGACCUUAAAUGGUUAAUUCUAUAAUUCUUUAUUUUAUACACCAGGGUCAUAUAUAAUUAAUAUCUGAUAGGCAGUGGAAUGUGUGACUUCCGCCUUACUUCCUGUUCCUUGUUUGGUUGUGGGCUUAGGG
rnacentral:lncRNA from 1 species